rnacentral:rRNA from 1 species
AAGACAAAAAUGGCAAGUCGACGAGAGACCUUCGGGUCUCUAGUGGCGAACGGGUGAGUAACACGUAGGGAACCUGCCCGCGCACCGGGAAUACGCUCUGGAAACGGAGAACAAAUCCCGAUGUACAGGAAGGAGGCAUCUUCUUUCUGUGAAACAUCCUUUCGGGGAUGGGGCGCGGAUGGACCUGCGGUGCAUUAGUUGGUUGGCGGGGUAAAGGCCCACCAAGACGAUGAUGCAUAGCCGGCCUGAGAGGGCGGACGGCCACAUUGGGACUGAGACACGGCCCAGACUCCUGCGGGAGGCAGCAGUAGGGAAUUUUCGUCAAUGGGCGCAAGCCUGAACGAGCGAUGCCGCGUGAGUGAAGAAGGCCUUCGGGUCGUAAAGCUCUGUUGCGGGGGAAAAAAGGCAGCAUCAGGAAAUGGGUGCUGACAGAUGGUGCCCCGCCAGAAAGUCACGGCUAACUACGUGCCAGCAGCCGCGGUAAUACGUAGGUGGCGAGCGUUAUCCGGAAUGUUUGGGCGUAAAGGGUGCGCAGGCGGUCCUGCAAGUCUGGAGUGAAACGCAUGAGCUCAACUCAUGCAUGGCUUUGGAAACUGGAGGACUGGAGAGCAGGAGAGGGCGGUGGAACUCCAUGUGUAGCGGUAAAAUGCGUAGAUAUAUGGAAGAACACCAGUGGCGAAGGCGGCCGCCUGGCCCGUUGCUGACGCUGAGGCACGAAAGCGUGGGGAGCAAAUAGGAUUAGAUACCCUA